ACCUAAAUAGUUUAUAUAAAAUUUUAAUUUGUGGGAUUAAAGAAAUGAGUUUCAUUUUAGGUA
rnacentral:tRNA from 1 species